UGGAAAAUAAUCACAUCAUAGCAGGUAGCAUUUUUAGCUGUUAGAUGCUUAGCCUAAGCGACAAUUUCCAUAAUUAUGUCAAUCAUUUCGAUUUUAUUUUCCAUCAAUAUCUUGACUAAAGUCACAUACUAUAUCGAACAUGGUUCUGUGAUACCAACUGUGACAUCCCCAAAAAUCUCGGCCAGAAAAGACCGAUUUUCAUUUAUGCUUUUAAAAUAUUUUCAGAGUAAAUCCUUUUGAUUUGAAAGAGUUGCGGAAUUUGUUCCCAAAAACAAAACAUGAUAAAACAAUGUUUACCAAAGCAUUUCAUAAAAGAAAUGUAUUUUUCAUUAUAUAAUCAAAGCUCGGGGUGUCAUGUUCCGAUACAGACCAAUAAGCAUAAACGAAUACAUUACAAGUCAUUCAAAAAAUAUAAACAUAUGCAGACUUGUAAUCAAAACAACUGAUGGUUCAUCCAUCUCAGGCCCUUGCGCCACUUCCUGUAAUACAAUUAAAACUGAGUGGGUCAGGCUUGGGAGCCUGGUGAGCAUAUAGGGUUUUCAACCCACAAUAAAUAAUCAUAUUUAAUUUUUCACCAACCAACAAUAACCCAAUUACCCAUUCCCGUUAUUCUCACUUUAUGUCCCUAAAAAAACUAACACAAGGGACCUAGUCUAAGAAUAUUUCAUCGGGGCGACAACACAUGCUUCGGGGGUACCUCAGCAAUAUAAGUCAAAUAAGGCAACCAUGAGGGGGAUGGAGUACAGCGAAUGAACACCCAAGUUCAUUAACACCUACAGGUGGCGAACCUGCUAAUGUUUCCACAAGACUGUCUAGAAUAGCCAGUGGUCGUCAUCUAAACUCCGCUAGAUGACUCAAUCAAACAACAACGAGGCCUCUCAUCUGUUUAUUACACACCAACUGUCUACCCAUGUUCUACCCAACAUAUUAGUAGAUAAAAAUAUACAUUUGUAUACAUAGUUUAAAGAAAACCUGUAUAGCAUGCUUUAAUCAACACAUAUAUCACAUAACAGAUGAGGCACACACACACAUAACACAUAUCUCAUAAAGAAAUAAGCAGAUCUAUAAGAUAGAAGAGAGUGAAUACUCAUUCACACAUAACACAACCAAAUAUAUACACAUAGCACGUAUUUUUAUAUAAAAUACUUCGUAUUAUUGUAUUAGAAGAAAUAACUACACACUCACUUGAUCAGAAGAUGAUCGGACAGCACUACGGCUUAUAGAAGUAGUAAUCCACAGCAGAUCUGGAAGAUCUUCUCGAAAAUCGAACUUCUCGCGGGCAGAGCUUCGACUCGGGAACCGCACUUUUCGGGAUCUUCGGGAUCUCGGGACUUGCCUCGGGGCUAGAGUAUGAUACCGGGACUUCGGGGUAGCUUCGGGGGUUUUUGCACAGAGCUUCGACACGAAAACGAGAGGGAAUUGGCAAAAAUACCCGGAACCCUCGCAUCCUAUUUAUAGGAGGCUGGAGCCUCGGAGUACGCGGGGCGUACUGCGUUACGCGGGGCGUACUGCCCAAAACGUCAUUGCUUACGUAUCCGAAGUGCUCGAGUGCGAGUGUCGACAUCCCUCGGAGUACGCGGGGCGUACUCGAGUACGCGGGGCGUACCUCGGAUCAGAUCGGUGACUCCUUCGGAUAAUGCUUCCGAAUUUUGAAUUAAAAAUAAAUACAAAAUGAUUAAUAAACUUCGGAAAUUCAUAACUUCUUCAUACGAACUCCGUUUUCGACGUUCUUUAUAUCCACGCGAAGGUGAGACCACGCUCUACGACUUUCGUUUAGACUCCGUCGGCUAAUUUUGACUUUAUUUUUAUUAAUUAUUUUUAAUAGGCCGGGACAGAAACUUUCGUUAUAAAUUCAUAACUUCUUCGUUUGACGUCCGUUCUCGCCUAACUUUUUAUCGUUUCAAUACCAACAAUGAGAUCUUCGAUUCUCAUUUAGAUUGCUUCGGCUAACAACCGCUCGAUCUCAAAUCGAGUAAAACAGGCUGUAUAUCGCUAAGCCGGAACUUCGAUAAAUCAUAACUUCCUCAUACGAAGUCAGAUUUGGGCGUUCUAUAUAUAUUCGGAAACCUCGUUUCAACUACUACAACAUUAACCAAAGAUAUUAAGUUUAUUUUACACUUAAAUUUUGACGCUUAUUUUUAUUCUUAAUUAAUCAAACCACAUAAUUAAGCAAUUAAGCACAAAACACAUAAUACUCAAAUAAUACAAUCUUAUUAUUUCAAAACGGGUUACAAAGGUUAACCUAGACUAUUACAUUGCUAAAAAUGGCAAGCCCGGAAACACAGGCGUUACAAUUCUCUCCACCUUAGAAUGAUUCCGUCCCCGGAAUCACACAUCAACAAACAAAUGCGGAUAGCGACUCAACAUGUCACUCUCCGUCUCCCAGGUGAGAUUCGGCCCAUUCGUGUGUUUCCAUCGGACAAGCACUAACCCAACCAUUUUGCGUCGCAACUUCUUAGUCUUUCGGUCAACAAUUGCCUCUGGUUCUUCAAUCAACCUUUUGUUCUCAUCAAUUCUCAAUUCAGAAAUUGGAAUUAUAUCGGGAACUUCUCCCGUGAACUUCCUCAAAUAACACACAUGAAAGGUGUUGUGAAUUCCAUUCAGUUCUUCGGGUAAUUCGAGCUUGUAAGCUUGAUUCCCAAUCCUCUGAAGGACUUUAAACGGUCCAAUAAACCUUGGACUCAACUUUCCCCUUUUACCAAAUCUUAUAAGUCCCUUCCACGGCGAGACUUUAAGCAAAACCGAAUCUCCAACCUCAAAAGUCAUCGGUCUUCGCUUCUUGUCAGCAUAGCUCUUUUGACGAUCUUGAGCUGCUAACAUUCUUUCCCUAAUUAUUUUCAACUUUUCAGCAGUUUGAUGAACCAUCUCCGGUCCCAUAAACUGCUUUUCCCCAGCCUCAAGCCAACAAGACGGCGUACGACACUUCUGUCCAUACAAAGCUUGAUAAGGUGCCAUCUUAAUGCUCGAGUGAAAACUAUUAUUAUAGGAAAAUUCUACCAACGGUAAAUGUUCAUCCCAAUUACCUAGGAAUUCCAAGGUACAUGCUCUCAGCAUAUCUUCAAGUGUUUGUAUUGUUCUUUCACUCUGACCAUCAGUCUGCGGAUGGUAAGCUGUGCUUAAACAUAACUUGGUACCCAUUUCCUCUUGUAGACUUUUCCAAAACCUUGAGGUGAAACGGCUAUCACGAUCCGAUACAAUCGUUAACGGAACACCGUGAAGCCUCACAAUUUCCUUCACGUAAGAAUUCGCAAGCUUUUCCAUAGACCAUUUCUCCCUGGCCGCUAUGAAAUGCGCACUCUUAGUGAAUCGAUCAACGACCACCCAAAUCAUGUCGUGACCAUUCUUUGUUCUGGGCAGUUUAGUGACAAAAUCCAUAGCAAUGUCUUCCCACUUACCCAUAGGCACAGGCAAUGGUUCUAAACUCCCGUAAGGUUUCUGAUGUUGUGUCUUGACUCUCGCACAAGUCACACACUCGGCCACAUACUUUGCAACAUCAAGCUUCAUCGUCGGCCACCAGUAGUAGGGUUUCAGGUCCCUAUACAUUUUAGUGCUACCCGGAUGAAUUGAGUACAUGGUUUUGUGAGCUUCUUCCAUCAGAAGAUCCCUAAUUCCUCCUGACUUAGGUACCCAAAUACGAUCUUGGAAUACCUUCAGUCCAUGACCGUUAGUACCAAACACCAACGUUUUACCCAAACGUUCCUCCUUUCGGUCAUUUUUCUCAGAAGCUUCCUCUUGAGCUUUCUUUAUACUUUCCACAAUAGUCGAGACAACUUCAAUUCUCAACGCUCUUGGCCUCUUCCUUUCAAGAUUGACUUUCCGACUGAGAGCAUCAGCAACAACAUUAGCUUUACCGGGGUGGUAAAGUAUCUCGCAGUCGUAGUCUUUAAGUAAUUCUAGCCAGCGUCGUUGCCUCAUAUUCAAUUCUUUCUGAUUAAAGAGGUAUUGGAGACUCUUAUGAUCAGUGAAAAGUUUGCACUUCGUGCCAUAGAGGUAAUGCCUCCAUAUUUUCAGAGCGAAAACUACCGCUGCCAACUCCAAAUCAUGAGUCGGGUAAUUCUUUUCAUGCUCUUUCAGCUGUCGAGACGCAUAUGCUAUCACCUUUUCUCUUUGGGUCAAAACACAACCCAAUCCAACACCAGACGCAUCGCUAUAAACAGCGAAGUCUUCAACUCCAUCGGGUAGAGAAAGUAUCGGUGCCUCGCAUAGCUUCUUCUUUAACUUCUCGAAUGCUUCUUUAUGCUUCUCACUCCAAGCAUAAGUAGCUCCUUUGUGGGUCAAAGCUGUUAAUGGAGUAGCAAUCGAAGAAAAGCCUUGGAUAAACCUUCGGUAAUAUCCGGCUAAUCCUAAAAAGCUUCGAAUCUCCGUGGGACUUUUCGGUUGUUCCCACUUCGUCACAGCUUCGAUCUUCGCUGGAUCAACCAUUAUCCCUUCUUGGUUGACCACGUGACCCAAGAAUUGGACCUCACGAAUCCAAAAAUCACAUUUGGAGAACUUCGCAUAAAGCUUCUCCUUCUUCAAAACUUCUAACACUUCUCGCAAGUGUCUGCCAUGCUCCUCCUGGCUUUUCGAGUAGAUCAGAAUGUCGUCUAUGAACACUAUCACGGAUUUAUCAAGGAAAGGAUUACAAACCCUAUUCAUCAAAUCCAUGAACGCUGCUGGAGCAUUGGUUAGUCCAAACGACAUAACCAAGAACUCGUAGUGUCCAUAUCUAGUUCUGAAUGCAGUCUUCUCGAUAUCUUGCUCUCUUACUUUCAGCUGAUGAUAUCCUGACCUAAGAUCGAUCUUCGAGAAAUAGCUCGAACCUUGCAAUUGAUCAAACAGGUCAUCAAUCCUCGGCAACGGAUAUCUAUUCUUUAUUGUUGCCUUGUUCAGCUCUCUGUAAUCGAUGCACAUUCUCAUACUUCCAUCUUUCUUCUUUACAAAUAACACCGGAGCUCCCCAGGGCGAUGAACUAGGUCUAAUGAAACCUUUGUCCAAUAACUCCUGAAGUUGCAUCAUCAGCUCCUUCAUCUCCGUCGGUGCUAAUCGAUAAGGUGCUUUUGCUAUUGGCGUGGUUCCUGGUAACAAGUCUAUUCUGAACUCCACUUGUCUAUCAGGUGGUAAUCCAGGAAGAUCCUCGGGAAAUACUUCCGGAUAAUCACACACCACUGGAAUGCUCUGCAUCACCUUCUUUUCUUUCUUAGCAUCAAUCACGAAUGCUAAAUAUGAUGUACAUCCCUUGGUCAAACACUUUCUGGCUUUCAUUAGAGAAAUGAUUCCAGAAUUCACUCUGCGUUUGUCCCCAUACACCAUAAACGAAUCUUUCCCAGGCGGGUUUACUUUAACUAUCUUCUUCUUGCACAAAAUUUCGGCAUCAUUGGCGCUAAGCCAAUCCAUUCCCAAGACGAUGUCGAAACCAUUUAGUUCGAUAGGCAAUAAUUCCUCGAGAAACUUAUUCCCAUUAAGGUCGAUCAAGACGUUUUUCAUACGAUGGCUAACAGGUACAAACUUGCCACUAGCUACUUCGACUAAUAAAGCAUUAUCUAGUCUAUCAACAGGCAAAGCUAGCUUUCUACCAAACUCAUGCGAAAUAAAGGAGUAGUUGGCUCCAGAAUCAAACAAUAUAUGAGCAGGUAAUUCGUUUACGAGAAAGGUACCUGAAGCGACAUCAGCUUCAUCUUUCGCAGCCUCAAGUGUCAUCUGGAAGGCUCUCGCCUUCGGCUUUGGUGGAAUGUUGGGCCUAGCUGCCUCCUUCUUCUUCGGACAGUCUUUCAAAAUAUGCCCCUCUUCAUUACACCCAAAACACAUCCUUUUGUUGUUCGGACAUUCAUUGGCAAAAUGUCCAACCUUUCCACACUUGUAGCAGGUCACAUCCUCGCUACAUUUCCCAAAGUGCUUUUUCUUACACUUAUCACACCACUUUGCUUCGCCUCCUUUUCCUCCAAACUUUUUCGAAUCAGAUUUCGAAAAUUUGCUCUUCUUACUGGAACCAGAUGUUCCUUCAAACUUCCUUUUCUCACCAACCUCAACCUUGACGGUGGUUCUCCCCUUGAUCAUGUUCUCCACAGACUUGGCAGCCCAGAUAGCUGCCUCUAGAGUAAGUGCCUGACGUACCGGCACCUCGUACUCCCAUGGAAGUCCCUUCGCAUACCGAUCCACCUUUGUCAGCUCGUCUGGAACGAUACGCAAGGCAAACUCCAUCUUAUCGGUGAAGUUAUUGGUGUACUCAUCCACUGACAUGCUACCCUUCGUCAAUGUCAAAAACUUGUUCUCCAACUCCAACAGAUUUUGAGCCGAGCAGAACUUGCGCUUGAACUGCACCAAGAACUCUGCCCAUGACAAUUGCAGUGGCUCAUUAGGGCUUAAGGUCUUCCCUAGAGUGUUCCACCAACGAACGGCUCCACCUCGGAAUUGUCGCACGGCAUAGAUAGUCUGCAACUUGCCUCUACAGCCACAUGUCAUAAAGGCUAACUCCAUUUCGGAGAUCCAAUCCAUAACCCCAAUCGGAUCCUCCUUUCCAUUGAAGGUCGAUGGUUUACAAGUCAAAAAGUCCUUGUACUUGCAUCCCAUUCCAUCAUUCCUUCCAUCAUGGUUAUCUUGCCUAACUAUCGGUGGGUUGGCUGGACCAACAGACCCACUGAAGUUUCCACCUUCCGAGUGCCCUUCAUUCAGUUCAGGCUCUUCCACACGAAUCGACAGUUCUUCACGAUUUUGUUGAAGCAACCGUCUAGUUUCAUCCAUCUGACGAUCCAACAUCGUCUGAAUCAUCAAUUGCACACCAGCCAUGGUUAUUGGCUCAGGUGCUGCUGCUACGACAGGUAUUGGCUCAAUCACUGGUGGUUGAUUCCUGUUUUCGUCAGCAUUUCCAACUCCACUUCUUGUUCUCACCAUUUUGAUCUACACCGAAUAAGGUGAAAUUAGAUCCUCAAUCAUGAUAGAUAUUCAAAUCAUCCUUAUCACUCCGAAACGUUUACAUGCUAGUUCUAAUAUCGUAGACGUACGCUUAGAAUCCUACACACAUAAGGUUUCUAGAUCCGGUCGGCAACAGACCAUAGAUCCGAACAAAUAAUAUCAUAUAUGGCAACAUAUAACAUUUAGCACAUAAAGCAUUUUAGGCAACUUUCCUAAAAUAAACUAGUGCUCGUGUCUAAAUCACAACAGACACACAUCUCAAAACUUCACUUAGCAUUCUAAGUUUAAGUCUAGAAAUCCUACAAAUUCCUAGUUCGCUUAAACUAAUGCUCUGAUACCAACUGUGACAUCCCCAAAAUCUCGGCCAGAAAAGACCGAUUUUCAUUUAUGCUUUUAAAUAUUUUCAGAGUAAAUCCUUUUGAUUUGAAAGAGUUGCGGAAUUUGUUCCCAAAAACAAAACAUGAUAAAACAUUGUUUACCGAAGCAUUUCAUAAAAGAAAUGUAUUUUCAUUAUAAUCAAAACUCGGGGUGUCAUGUUCCGAUACAGACCAAUAAGCAUAAACGAAUACAUUACAAGUCAUAUAACAAAUAUAAACAUAUGCAGACUUGUAAACAAAACAACUUGAUGGUUCAUCCAUCUCAUGCCCUUCCGCCACUACCUGUAAUACAAUUUAAAACUGAGUGGGUCAGGCUUGGGAGCCUGGUGAGCAUAUAGGGUUUUCAACCCACAAUAAAUAUCAUAUUUAAUUUUCACCAACCAACAAUAACCCAAUUACCCAUUCCCGUUAUUCUCACUUUAAUGUCCCUAAAACAACUAACAUAAGGGACCUAGUCUAAGAAUAUUUCAUCGGGGCGACAACACAUGCUUCGGGGGUACCUCAGCAAUAUAAGUCAAAUAAGGCAACCAUGAGGGGGAUGGAGUACAGCGAAUGAACACCCAAGUUCAUUAACACCUACAGGUGGCGAACCUGCUAAUGUUUCCACAAGACUGUCUAGAAUAGCCAGUGGUCGUCAUCUAAACUCCGCUAGAUGACUCAAUCAAACAACAACGAGGCCUCUCAUCUGUUUAUUACACACCAACUAUCUACCCAUGUUCUACCCAACAUAUUAGUAGAUAAAAUAUACAUUUUUAUACAUAGUUUUGAAAACCUGUAUAGCAUGCUUUAAUCAACACAUAAUCCACAUAACAGAUGAGGCACACACACACAUAGCACAUAUCUCAUAGAGAAUAAAUCAUAUCUAUGAGAUAGAAGAGAGUGAAUACACAUUCACACAUAACACAACCAAAUAUAUACACAUAGCACGUAUUUUAUUUAAAAUACUUCAUAUUAUUGUAUUUGGAAGAAGGUAACUACACACUCACACUUAUAAACAACAAUAUAAUUAAUACACUCGAACCAAACUUGUAUUAUUAUCGUGUUUAUGAAAGGUAGUAUACACUCACUUGAUCAGAAGAUGAUCGGACAGCACUACGGCUUGCAGAAGUAGUAAUCCUCAGCAGAUCUGAAAGAUCUUCACAAAAAUCGAACUUCUCGCGGGCAGAGCUUUGACUCGGAAACCACACUUCUCGGGAUCUUCGGGAUCUCGGGACUUGCCUCGGGGCUCGGGAAUAUUACCGGGGCUUCGGGAUGGCUACGUGGGUUUACGCGUAGAGCUUCGGCACAAAAACGAGAGAAAAUUAGCAAAUGAACCCGGAACCCU
rnacentral:lncRNA from 1 species